rnacentral:rRNA from 1 species
AUGGUCAUACAAGCUUAUGCUGUUAAGGUGCCAGUAGGGAUCGGGGAACUGAAAUCCCUGAACACACUGCGAUGUGUGCACCUUGAAUGGGAAAAUGCCAUCAUACAAGAGAUAGAAGGUCUCACCAACCUCCGCAAGUUAGGAGUGUUCGGCAUUGAUAGGGGCAAUGGCCCGGAGUUUUGUUCAGCCAUUUCAGGUCUCGACCGCCUUGAAUCUUUGUCAGUGCGGUCAGAGGUAUGGGAUUUAUGUGACAUCUUGAAUGGCAUGUCCUCGCCUUCAGAAAAUCUCCGGAGCCUCAAGCUUCUCGGUUGGAUGGAUGAACUGCCGCAAUGGAUCAAGGUGCUCCAGAAUUUGGUGAAGAUUAAGCUAGAAUCCACCGAGGUGUCUAUAAACGAUGAAGACAUGCGAAUCCUUGGGAACCUACCAAACCUCUCCAUUCUGUCUUUCAAGGAGAAAUCUUUCCAGAGUGCACUACCUAUAACUUUCCAUAGUGGCAUUUUCAGAAGCCUCAUGACGCUCGAGCUUGUUUACAUGGACGUGGAGGUCGGAUCGUUGGAGUUCGAGGCAUCAUCAAUGCCCAAGCUCGAGGUGCUGAACCUGCGACUUAUCGAUUGUAAAAUUGGCUGUUUUGGACUGAAUUUCUCCCAAGCAUCAAGGAAGUGCGGCUCUUGGUCGUCGUUACCCCAACACUCAUCGCACUAA